rnacentral:tRNA from 2 species
GCGAGAGUGGCGGAAUUGGUAGACGCACCAGAUUUAGGUUCUGGCGGAGAAAUCCGUGAGGGUUCGAGUCCCUCCUUUCGCACCA